rnacentral:lncRNA from 12 species
AGAAAAUAUCACCUACUGAAGACGAUGAUUUUAAAAAAGAUCAGCGUUGUAUGGGCUUCUGUUAGCAACUCCUGUUGGCCCUGGCAGAUGAGUACCAGCCUGCCAACACUGCUGUUCAGCACUGCUGGCAGGGUACAGGAGCAGGCAGCGACCCAAGGGGGACACUCCCCUGACUGAAAAACUGUGGAGUCCAUUCUUAUCACAGCUAUGAAGUUCUGAAACACACAUCAAGGUAACUCGAC